GUUUGUAUCUUGAAGGACAGCUGAUGAUAUUGGAACGAGACAAAGAAGAUUAGAAUAAUCACUGCACAUGCAUGACAUACAUAAAUCUAGACAUAGUCUUAAUUAUG